AGGUCAGCGGCGGACGGGUGAGUAACACGUGGGUAACCUGCCUGUAAGACUGGGAUAACUCCGGGAAACCGGGGCUAAUACCGGAUGCUUGAUUGAACCGCAUGGUUCCAAUCAUAAAAGGUGGCUUUCAGCUACCACUUACUGAUGGACCCGCGGCGCAUUAGCUAGUUGGUGAGGUAACGGCUCACCAAGGCGACGAUGCGUAGCCGACCUGAGAGGGUGAUCGGCCACACUGGGACUGAGACACGGCCCAGACUCCUACGGGAGGCAGCAGUAGGGAAUCUUCCGCAAUGGACGAAAGUCUGACGGAGCAACGCCGCGUGAGUGAUGAAGGUUUUCGGAUCGUAAAACUCUGUUGUUAGGGAAGAACAAGUACCGUUCGAAUAGGGCGGCACCUUGACGGUACCUAACCAGAAAGCCACGGCUAACUACGUGCCAGCAGCCGCGGUAAUACGUAGGUGGCAAGCGUUGUCCGGAAUUAUUGGGCGUAAAGCGCGCGCAGGCGGUUUCUUAAGUCUGAUGUGAAAGCCCCCGGCUCAACCGGGGAGGGUCAUUGGAAACUGGGGAACUUGAGUGCAGAAGAGGAGAGUGGAAUUCCACGUGUAGCGGUGAAAUGCGUAGAGAUGUGGAGGAACACCAGUGGCGAAGGCGACUCUCUGGUC
rnacentral:rRNA from 1 species